rnacentral:lncRNA from 1 species
AAUUCACUCAGAACUAACAAGAAUGAUAACAUGCUCCGACUGGAGCGGUUUAGGAACUGCUGGAAGGCUCUAGGGGAAUAAAGAUGGAAUGACUUCUAAUUUUUAGGUCCGUAUGAUUUGAAAUACUUGCACACAAACCACGCGAAAGCGUUCCUGGAAAUCUCAGCCCAAAAAAGGACGUUUAGUAAUUCUAAAAGGGACUACAGGAUGAAAAACAAUAGUUUUGGCAGUUAAAGUUUGAGAUUCGACAGUGCCGUAGAUCCGUUUGGUCAUCAGGUAUUACGAGCCACACCCAUGUCUAGCUAGAAUAGUGUGCUAGGCUCAGGCUAGAGAAGAAACGGGGAACAAACUGAUGAAAGAAUGAUCAAACCGAGGGAAUUCACUCAGAACUAACAAUAAUGAUAACGUGCUCCGACUGGUGCGGUUUAGGAACUGCUGGAAGGCUCUAGGGGAAUAAAGAUGGAAUGACUUCUAAUUUUUAGGUCCGUAUGAUUUGAAAUACUUGCACACAAACCGCGCGAAAGCGUUCCUGGAAAUCUCAGCCCAAAAAAGGACGUUUAGUAAUUUUAAAAGGGACUAUAGGAUGAAAAACAAUAGUUUUGGCAAUUAAAGUUUGAGAUUCGACGGUGUCGUAGAUCCGUUUGGUCAUCAGGUGUUACGAGCCACACCCAUGUCUAGCUAGAAUAGUAUGUCAGGCUCAGGUUAGAGUAGAAACGGGGAACAAACUGAUGAAAGAAUGAUCAUACCAAGGGAAUUCACUCAGAACUAUCAAGAAUGAUAACGUGCUCCGACUGGAGUGAUUUAGGAACUGCUGGAAGGCUCUAGGGGAAUAAAGAUGGAAUGACUUCUAAUUUUUACGUCCGUAUGAUUUGAAAUACUUGCACACAAAUCACGCAAAAGCGUUCCUGGAAAUCUCAGCCUAAAAAAGGACGUUUAGUAAUUCUAAAAGGGACUACAGGAUGAAAAACAAUAGUUUGGGCAGUUAAAAUUUGAGAUUCGACGGUGCCGUAGAUCCGUUUGGUCAUCAGGUGUUACGAGCGACACCCUUGUCUAGCUAGAAUAGUGUGUUAGGCUCAGACUAGAGAAGAAACGGGGAACAAAGUGAUGAAAGAAUGAUCAUACCGAGGGAAUUCACUCAGAACUAACAAGAAUGAUAACGUGCUCCGACUGGAGCGGUUUAGUAACUGCUGGAAGGCUCUAGGGGAAUGAAGAUGGAAUGACUUCUAAUUUUUAGGUCCGUAUGAUUUGAAAUACAUGCACACAAACCCUGAGAAAGCGUUCCUGGAAAUCUCGGUCGAAAAAAGGAUGUUUAAUAAUUCUAAAAGGGACUACCGGAUGAAAAACAAUAGUUUUGGCAGUUAAAGUUUGUGAUUCGAUGGUGCCGUAGAUCUGUUUGGUCAUCAGGUGUUACGAGCCACACCCAUGUCUAUCUAGAAUAGUGUGUUAGGCUCAGGCUAGAGCAGAAACGGGGAACAGACUUAUGAAAGAAUGAUCAUACCGAGGGAAUUCACUCAGAACUAACAAGAAUGAUAACGUGCUCCGACUGGCGCGGUUUAGGAACUGCUGGAAGGCUCUAGGGGAAUAAAGAUGGAAAGACUUCUAAUUUUUAGGUCCGUAUGAUUUGAAAUACUUGCACACAAACCGCACGAAAGCGUUCCUGGAAAUCUCAGCCUAAAAAGGAUGUUUAGUAAUUCUAAAAGGGACUACAAGAUGAAAAAUAAUAGUUUGGGCAGUUAAAAUUUGAGAUUCGACGAUGCCGUAGAUCCGUUUGGUCAUCAGGUGUUAUGAGCCACACCCAUGUCUAGCUAGAAUAGUGUGUUAGGCUCAGGCUAGAGAAGAAACGGGGAACAAACUGAUGAAAGAAUGAUCAUACCGAGGGAAUUCACUCAGAACUAACAAGAAUGAUAACGUGCUCCGACUGGAGCAGUUUAGAAACUGCUGGAAGGCUCUAAUGGAAUAAAGAUGGAAUGCCUUCAAAUUUCUAGGUCCGUAUGAUUUGAAAUACUUGCACACAAACCGCUCGAAAGCGUUCCUGGAAAUCUCAGCCCAAAAAAGGACGUUUAGUAAUUCUAAAAGGGACUACAGGAUGAAAAACAAUAGUUUUGGCAGUUAAAGUUUGAGAUUCGAUGGUGCCGUAGAUCCGUUUGGUCAUCAGGUGUAACGAGCCACACACAUGUCUAGCUAGAGUAGUGUGCUAGGCUCAGACUAGAGAAGAAACGGGGAACAAAGUGAUGAAAGAAUGAUCAUACCGAGGGAAUUCACUCAGAACUUACAAGAAUGAUAACGUGCUCCGACUGGAGCGCUUUAGUAACUGCUGGAAGGCUCUAGGCGAAUAAAGAUGGAAUGACUUCUAAUUUUUAGGUCCGUAUGAUUUGAAAUACUUGCACACAAACCACGCAAAACCGUUCCUAGAAAUCUCGGUCGAAAAAAGGACGUUUAGUAAUUCUAAAAGGGACUACAGGAUGAAAAACAAUAGUUUUGGCAGUUAAAGUUUGAGAUUCGAUGGUGCCGUAGAUCCGUUUGGUCAUCAGGUGUUACGAGCCACACCCAUGUCUAGCUAGAGUAGUGUGCUAGGUUCAGACUAGAGAAGAAACGGGGAACAAAGUGAUUAAAGAAUGAUCAUACCGAGGGAAUUCACUCAGAACUAACAAGAAUGAUAACGUGCUCCGACUGGAGCGGUUUAGGAACUGCUGGAAGGCUCUAGGGGAAUAAAGAUGGAAUGACUUCUAAUUUUUACGUCCGUAUGAUUUGAAAUACAUGCACACAAACCACGCAAAAGCGUUCCUGGAAAUCUCAGCCUAAAAAAGGACGUUUAGUAAUUCUAAAAGGGACUACAGGAUGAAAAAUAAUAGUUUGGGCAGUUAAAAUUUGAGAUUCGACGCUGCCGUAGAUCCGUUUGGUCAUCAGGUCUUACGAGCCACACCCAUGUCUAGCUAGAAUAGUGUGUUAGGCUCAGGCUAGAGAAGAAACGGGGAACAAACUGAUGAAAGAAUGAUCAUACCGAGGGAAUUCACUCAGAACUAACAAGAAUGAUAACGUGCUCCGACUGGAGCAGUUUAGAAACUCCUGGAAGGCUCUAGGGGAAUAAAGAUGGAAUGACUUCAAAGUUUUAGGUCCGUAUGAUUUGAAAUACUUGCACACAAACCGCGUGAAAGCGUUCCUGGAAAUCUCAACCCAAAAAAGGGCGUUUAGUAAUUCUAAAAGGGACUACAGGAUGUAAAACAAUAGUUUUGGCAGUUAAAGUUUGAGAUUCGAUGGUGCCGUAGAUCCGUUUGGUCAUCAGGUGUAACGAGCCACACCCAUGUCUAGCUAGAGUAGUGUGCUAGGCUCAGACUAGAGAAGAAACGGGGAACAAAGUGAUGAAAGAAUGAUCAUACCGAGGGAAUUCACUCAUAACUAACAAGAAUGAUAACGUGCUCUGACUUGAGCGGUUUAGGAACUGCUGGAAGGCUAUAGGGGAAUAAAGAUGGAAUGACUUCAAAUUUUUAGGUCCGUAUGAUCUGAAAUACUUGCACACAAACCGCGAGAAAGCGUUCCUGGAAAUCUCAACCCAAAAAAGGACGUUUAGUAAUUCUAAAAGGGACUACAGGAUGAAAAACAAUAGUUCUGGCAGUUAUUGUUUGAGAUUCGAUAAUCUCGUAGAUCCGUUUGGUCAUCAGGUGUAACGAGCCACACCCAUGUCUAGCUAGAGUAGUGUGCUAGGCUCAGACUAGAGAAGAAACGGGGAACAAACUGAUGAAAGAAUGAUCAUACCGAGGGAAUUCACUUAGAACUAACAAGAAUGAUAACGUGCUCCGACUGGAGCGGUUUAGGAACUGCUGGAAGGCUCUAGGGGAAUAAAGAAGGAACGACUUCUAAUUUUUAGGUCCGUAUGAUUUGAAAUAUGUGCACACAAACCACGAGAAAGCGUUCCUAGAAAUCUCGGCCCAAAAGAGGACGUUUAGUAUUCUAAAAGGGACUACAGAAUGAAAAACAAUAGUUUUGGCAGUUAAAGUUUGAGAUUUGACGGUGCCGUAGAUCUGUUUGGUCAUCAGGGGUUACGAGCCACACCCAUGUCUAGCUAGAAUAGUGUGUUAGGCUCAGGCUAGAAAAGAAACGGGGAACAAAGUGAUGAAAGAAUGAUCAUACCGAGGGAAUUCACUCAGAACUAACAAGAAUGAUAACAUGCUCCGACUGGAGCGGUUUAGGAACUGCUGGAAGGCUCUAGGGGAAUAAAGAUGGAAUGACUUCUAAUUUUUAGGUCCGUAUGAUUUGAAAUACUUGCACACAAACCGCGCGAAAGCGUUCCUGGAAAUCUCAGCCCAAAAAAGGACGUUUAGUAAUUCUAAAAGGGACUACAGGAUGAAAAACAAUAGUUUUGGCAGUUAAAGUAUGAGAUUCAACGGUGCCGUAGAUCCGUUUGGUCAUUAGGUGUUACGAGCCACACCCAUGUCUAGCUAGAAUAGUGUGCUAGGCUCAGGCUAGAGAAGAAACGGGGAACAAACUGAUGAAAGAAUGAUCAAACCGAGGGAAUUCACUCAGAACUAACAAUAAUGAUAACGUGCUCCGACUGGAGCGGUUUAGGAACUGCUGGAAGUCUCUAGGGGAAUAAAGAUGGAAUGACUUCUAAUUUUUACGUUCGUAUGAUUUGAAAAACUUGCCCAUAAACCGCGCGAAAGUGUUCCUGGAAAUCUCAGCCCAAAAAAGGACGUUUAGUAAUUUUAAAAGGGACUACACGAUGAAAAACAAUAGUUUUGGCAGGUAAAGUUUGAGAUUCGACAGUGCCGUAGAUCCGUUUGGUCAUCAGGUGUUACGAGCCACACCCAUGUCUAGCUAGAAUAGUAUGUUACGCUCAGGUUAGAGAAGAAACGGGGAACAAACUGAUGAAAGAUGAUCAUACCAAGGGAAUUCACUCAGAACUAACAAGAAUGAUAACGUGCUCCGACUGGAGCGGUUUAGGAACUGCUGGAAGGCUCUAGGGGAAUAAAGAUGGAAUGACUUCUAAUUUUUACGUCUGUAUGAUUUGAAAUACUUGCACACAAACAACGCAAAAGCAUUCCUGGAAAUCUCAUCCUAAAAAAGGACGUUUAGUAAUUCUAAAAGGGACUACAGGAUGAAAAAUAAUAGUUUGGGAAGUUAAAAUUUGAGAUUCGAUAGUGCCGUAGAUCCGUUUGGUCAUCAGGUGUUAGGAGCCACACCCAUGUCUAGCUAGAAUAGUGUGUUAGGCUCAGGCUAGAGAAGAAACAGGGAACAAACUGAUGAAAGAAUGAUCAUACCGAGGGAAUUCACUCAGAACUAGCAAGAAUGAUAACGUGCUCCGACUGGAGCAGUUUUGAAACUGCUGGAAGGCUCUAGGGGAAUAAUGAUGGAAUGACUUCUAAGUUUUUGGUCCGUAUGAUUUGAAAUACGUGCACACAAACCCAGAGAAAGUGUUCUUGGAAAUCUCGGCCGAAAAAAGGAUGUUUAAUAAUUCUAAAAGGGACUACAGGAUGAAAAACAAUAGUUUUGGCAGUUAAAGUUUGUGAUUCGAUGGUGCUGUAGAUCUGUUUGGUCAUCAGGUGUUAUGAGCCACACCCAUGUCUAGCUAGAACAGUGUGUUAGGCUCAGGCUAGAGCAGAAACGGGGAACAAACUUAUGAAAGAAUGAUCAUACCGAGGGAAUUCACUCAGAACUAACAAGAAUGAUAACGUGCUCCGACUGGAGAGGUUUAGGAACUGCUGGAAGGCUCUAGGGGAAUAAAGAUGGAAUGACUUCAAAUUUUUAGGUCUGUAUGAUCUGAAAUACUUGCACACAAACCGCGAGAAAGCGUUCCUGGAAAUCUCAGCCCAAAAAAGGACGUUUAGUGAUUCUAAAAGGGACUACGGGAUAAAAAACAAUAGUUUUGGCAGUUAAAGUUUGAGAUUCGAUAAUGCCGUAGAUCCGUUUGGUCAUCAGGUGUAACGAGCCACACCCAUGUCUAGCUAGAGUAGUGUGCUAGGCUCAUACUAGAGAAGAAAUGGGGAACAAACUGAUGAAAGAAUGAUCAUACCGAGGGAGUUCACUCAAAACUAACAUGAAUGAUAACGUGCUCCGACUGGAGCGGUUUAGGAACUGCUGGAAGGCUCUAGGGGAAUAAAGAUGGAAUGACUUCUAAUUUUUAGGUCCGUAUGAUUUGAAAUACAUGCACACAAACCCCAAGAAAGCGUUCCUGGAAAUCUCGCCCCGAAAAACGACGUUUAGUAAUUCUAAAAGGGACUAUAGGAUGAAAAACAAUAGUUUUGGCAGUUAAAGUUUGAGAUUUGACGGUGCCGUAGAUCUGUUUGGUCAUCAGGUGUUACGAGCCACACCCAUUUCUAGCUAGAAUAGUGUGUUAGGCUCAGGCUAGAAAAGAAACGGGGAACAAAGUGAUGAAAGAAUGAUCAUACCGAGGGAAUUCACUCAGAACUAACAAGAAUGAUAACAUGGUCCGACUGGAGCGGUUUAGGAACUGCUGGAAGGCUCUAGGGGAAUAAAGAUGGAAUGACUUCUAACUUUUAGGUCCGUAUGAUUUGAAUUACUUGCACACAAACCGCGCGAAAGCGUUCCUGGAAAUCUCAGCCCAAAAAAGGACGUUUAGUAAUUCUAAAAGGGACUACAGGAUGAAAAACAAUAGUUUUGGCAGUUAAAGUUUGAGAUUCGACGGUGCCGUAGAUCCGUUUGGUCAGCAGGUGUUACGAGCCACACCCAUGUCUAGCUAGAGUAGUGUGCUAGGUUCAGACUAGAGAAGAAAUGUUGGGGAACGUAGCAGAAAUUCAAAAUUUUCCUACGUGUCACCAAGAUCUAUCUAUGGAGAGACUAGCAACGAGGGAAGGAGAGUGCAUCUACAUACCCUUGUAGAUCGCUAAGCGGAAGCGUUCAAGUGAACGGGGUUGAUGGAGUCGUACUCGUCGUGAUUCAGCUCACCGAUGAUCCUAGUGCCGAACGGACGGCACCUCCGCGUUCAACACACGUACAGCUCGACGAUGUCUCCCACGCCUUGAUCCAGCAAGGAGAGAGGGAGAGGUUGAGGAAGACUCCAUCCAGCAGAAGCACAACGGCGUGGUGGUGAUGGAGGAGCAUGGCAAUCCUGCAGGGCUUCGCCAAGCACCUAUGGGAGAGGAGGAGGUGUCACGGGAGGGAGGGAGGCGCCAAGGGCUCAGGUAUAGAUGCCCUCCCUCCCCUCCACUAUAUAUAGGGGCAAGGGAGAGGGGGGAGGCGCAGCCUUGCCCCUUCCUCCAAGGAAGGGGUGCGGCUAAGAGGGGGGGAGGAGUCCAUCCUCCCCAAGGCACCUCGGAGGUGCCUUCCCCCUUUAGGACUCUCCCCUUUUUCCUAUAUCUUGGCGCAUGGGCCUCUAGGGGCUGGUUCCCUUGGCCCAUGUAGGCCCAGGCGCACCCCCUACAGCCCAUGUGGCCCCCCGGGGCAGGUGGCCCCACCUGGUGGGCCCCCGGGACCCUUCCGGUGGUCCCGGUACAAUACCGAUGACCCCGAAACUUGUCCCGAUGGCCGAAACAGGACUUCCUAUAUAUAAAUCUUUACCUCCGGACAAUUCCGGAACUCCUCGUGACGUCCGGGAUCUCAUCCGGGACUCCGAACAACAUUCGGUAACCACAUACAAACUUCCUUUAUAACCCUAGCGUCAUCGAACCUUAAGUGUGUAGACCCUACGGGUUCGGGAGACAUGUAGUCAUGACCGAGAUGUUCUCCGGUCAAUAACCAACAGCGGGAUCUGGAUACCCAUGUUGGCUCCCACAUGUUCCACGAUGAUCUCAUCGGAUGAACCACGAUGUCAAGGACUCAAUCAAUCCCGUAUACAAUUCCCUUUGUCUAGCGGUAUGGUACUUGCCCGAGAUUCGAUCGUCGGUAUACCGAUACCUUGUUCAAUCUCGUUACCGGCAAGUCUCUUUACUCAUUUCGUAACACAUCAUCCCGUGAUCAACCCCUUGGUCACAUUGUGCACAUUAUGAUGAUGUCCUACCGAGUGGGCCCAGAGAUACCUCUCCGUUUACACGGAGUGACAAAAUCCCAAUCUCGAUUCGUGCCAACCCAACAGACACUUUCAGAGAUACCCGUAGUGUACCUUUACAGCCACCCAGUUACGUUGUGACGUUUGGCACACCCAAAGCACUCCUACAGUAUCCGGGAGUUGCACAAUCUCAUGGUCUAAGGAAAUGAUACUUGACAUUAGAAAAGCUUUAGCAUACGAACUACAUGAUCUUGUGCUAGGCUUAGGAUUGGGUCUUGUCCAUCACAUCAUUCUCCUAAUGAUGUGAUCCCGUUAUCAACGACAUCCAAUGUCCAUGGUCAGGAAACCGUAACCAUCUAUUGAUUAACGAGCUAGUCAACUAGAGGCUUACUAGGGACAUGGUGUUGUCUAUGUAUCCACACAUGUAUCUAAGUUUCCUAUCAAUACAAUUCUAGCAUGGAUAAUAAACGAUUAUCAUGAACAAGGAAAUAUAAUAAUAAUCAAUUUAUUAUUGCCUCUAGGGCAUAUUUCCAACAGUCUCCCACUUGCACUAGAGUCAAUAAUCUAGUUCACAUCGAUAUGUGAUUAACACUCAAGGUCACAUUCCCAUGUGACUAACACCCAAGAGUUUACUAGAGUCAAUAAUCUAGUUCACAUUUACCAUGUGAUUAACACUUGAUGAGUUCUGGGUUUGAUCAUGUUAUGCUUGUGAGAGAGGUUAUAGUCAACGGGUCUGAACCUUUCAGAUCCGUGUGUGCUUUACAAAUCUCUAUGUCAUCUCCUAGAUGCAGCUACCACGUUCUAUUUGGAGCUAUUCCAAAUAACUGUUCUACUUGGAGCUAUUCUAAAUUGUUGCUCCAUUAUACGUAUCCGGUAUCUCUACUCAGAGCUAUCCGGAUAGGUGUUAAGCUUGCAUCGACGUAACCCUUUACGACGAACUCUUUUACCACCUCCAUAAUUGAGAAAAUUCCUUAGUCCACUAGUUACUAAGGAUAACUUUGACCGCUGUCCUGUGAUCCAUUCUUGGAUCACUCUUGUACCCCUUGACUGACUCAUGGUAAAGCACACUUCAGGUGCGGUACACAGCAUAGCAUACUGUAGAGCCUAUGUCUUAAGCAUAGGGGACGACCUUCGUUCCUUUCUCUCUAUUCUGCCAUGGUCGAGCUUUAAGUCUUAACUUCAUACCUUACAACUCAGGCAAGAACUCCUUCUUUGACUGAUCCAUCUUGAACACCUUCAAGAUCACGUCAAGGCAUGUGCUCACGUCAAGAUCACGUCGGUAUACCGAUACCUUGUUCAAUCUCGUUACCGGCAAGUCUCUUUACUCGUUCCGUAACACAUCAUCCCGUGAUCAACCCCUUGGUCACAUUGUGCACAUUAUGAUGAUGUCCUACCGAGUGGGCCCAGAGAUACCUCUCCGUUUACACGGAGUGACAAAAUCCCAAUCUCGAUUCGUGCCAACCCAACAGACACUUUCAGAGAUACCCGUAGUGUACCUUUAUAGCCACCCAGUUACGUUGUGACGUUUGGCACACCCAAAGCACUCCUACGGUAUCCGGGAGUUGCACAAUCUCAUGGUCUAAGGAAAUGAUACUUGACAUUAGAAAAGCUUUAGCAUACGAACUACAUGAUCUUGUGCUAGGCUUAGGAUUGGGUCUUGUCCAUCACAUCAUUCUCCUAAUGAUGUGAUCCCGUUAUCAACGACAUCCAAUGUCCAUGGUCAGGAAACCGUAACCAUCUAUUGAUUAACGAGCCAGUCAACUAGAGGCUUACUAGGGACAUGGUGUUGUCUAUGUAUCCACACAUGUAUCUGAGUUUCCUAUCAAUACAAUUCUAGCAUGGAUAAUAAACGAUUAUCAUGAACAAGGAAAUAUAAUAAUAAUCAAUUUAUUAUUGCCUCUAGGGCAUAUUUCCAACAGUCUCCCACUUGCACUAGAGUCAAUAAUCUAGUUCACAUCACCAUGUGAUUAACACUGACAGGUCACAUCACCAUGUGACCAACAUCCAAAGAGUCUUGGGUUUGAUCAUGUUGCUUGUGAGAGAGGUUAUAGUCAACGGGUCUGAACCUUUCAGAUCCGUGUGUGCUUUACAAAUCUCUAUGUCAUCUCCUAGAUGCAGCUACCACGUUCUAUUUGGAGCUAUUCCAAAUAACUGUUCUACUUGGAGCUAUUCUAAAUUGUUGCUCCAUUAUACGUAUCCGGUAUCUCUACUCAGAGCUAUCCGGAUAGGUGUUAAGCUUGCAUCGACGUAACCCUUUACGACGAACUCUUUUACCACCUCCAUAAUUGAGAAAAUUCCUUAGUCCACUAGUUACUAAGGAUAACUUUGACCGCUGUCCUGCGAUCCAUUCUUGGAUCACCCUUGUACCCCUUGACUGACUCAUGGUAAAGCACACUUCAGGUGCGGUACACAGCAUAGCAUACUGUAGAGCCUAUGUCUUAAGCAUAGGGGAUGACCUUCGUUCCUUUCUCUCUAUUCUGCCAUGGUCGAGCUUUAAGUCUUAACUUCAUACCUUACAACUCAGGCAAGAACUCCUUCUUUGACUGGUCCAUCUUGAACACCUUCAAGAUCAUGUCAAGGUAUGUGCUCAUUUGAAAGUACUAUUAAGCGUUUUGAUCUAUCCUUAUAGAUCUUGAUGCUCAAUGUUCAAGUAGCUUAAUCCAGGUUUUCCAUUGAAAACACUUUCCAAAUAACCCUAUAUGCUUUCCAGAAAUUCUACGUCAUUUCUGAUCAUUAAUAUGUCAACAACAUAUAAUCAUCAGAAAUUCUAUAGUGCUCCCACUCACUUCUUUGGAAAUACAAGUUUCUCAUAAACUUUGUAUACACCCAAAAUCUUUGAUCAUCAUCAAAGCAUACAUUCCAACUCCGAGAUGCUCACUCCAGUCCUCAGAAGGAUUGCUGGAGCUUUGCAUACUUAUUAGCAUAUUUCAGGAUAGACAAAACCUUCCAGUUGUAUCACAUACAACCUUUCCUCAAGAAUCGUCGACGAAACAAUGUUUUGACAUCCUAUCUGCAAGAUUUCAUAAAUAAUGCAGUAAUUGUUAAUAUAAUUCCAACAGACUCUUAGCAUCGCUACGAGUGAGAAAGUCUCAUUGUAGUCAACUCCUUGAACUUGUCAAAAAACAUCUUAACGACAAGUCGAGCUUUCUCAAUGGUGACACUUACCAUCAUUGUCUGUCUUCCUUUCAAAAUCCAUAUGUACCUAACAGCCUUACGACCAUCAAGUAGUUCUUCCAAAGUCUACACUUUGUUUUCAUACAUGGAUCCUCUCUCGGGUUUUAUGGCCAUGAGCCAUUUAUCGGAAUCCGGGCCCACCAUUGCUUCUCCAUAGCUCGUAGGUUCAUUGUUGUCUAGCAACAUGACUUCCAAGACAGGAUUACUGUACCACUCUGAAGUAGUACGUAUCCUUGUCACCCUACGAGGUUUGGGAGUGACUUGAUCUGAAGUUUCAUGAUCACUAUCAUAAGCUUCUACUUCAAUUGGUGUAGGUGCCACAGGAACAACUUCCUGUGCCCUGCUACACACUGGUUGAAGUGAUGGUUCAAUAACCUCAUCAAGUCUCCACCAUCCUCCCACUCAAUUCUUUCGAGAGAAACCUUUCCUCGAGAAAGGACCCAAUUCUAGAAACAAUUCAUAUUGCUUUCGGAUCUGAAUUAGGAAGUAUACCCAACUGUUUUGGGUGUCCUAUGAAGAUGUACUUUAUCCGCUUUGGUUUCGAGCUUAAUCCUGAAACUUUUUCACAUAAGUGUCGCAGCCCCAAACCUUUAAGAAACGACAACUUAGGUUUCUCUAAACCAUAAUUCAUACGGUGUCAUCUCAUCGGAAUUACGUGGUGCCCUAUUUAAAGUGAAUGUGGUUGUCUUUAAUGCCUAACCCAUAAACUAUCGUGGCAGUUCGAUAAGAGACAUCAUGGUAUGCAUCAUAUCCAAUAGGGUGCAACUAUGAUGUUCGGACACACCAUCACACUAUGGUGUUCCAGGCGGUAUUAAUUGUGAAACAAUUUCCACAAUGUCUUAAUUGUGUGCCAAAACUCGUAACUCAGAUACUCAUCUCUAUGAUCAUAUCAUAGACAUUUUAUCCUCUUGUCACAAUGAUCUUCUACUUCACUCUGAAAUUACUUGAACCAUUCAACAAUUCAGACUUGUGUUUCAUCAAGUAAAUAUUCUCAACAUCUACUCGAAUCAUCUGUGAAGUAAGAACAUAACGAUAUUCACUGCAUGCCUCAGCACUCAUUGGACUGCACACAUCAAAAUGUGUUACUUCCAACAAGUUGCUAUCUUGUUCCAUCUUACUGAAAACGAGGCUUUUCAGUCAUCUUGCCCAUGUGGUAUGAUUUGCAUGUCCCAAGUGAUUCAAAAAUCAAGUGAGUCAAAACGGUCCAUUUGCAUGGAGUUUCUUCAUGCAUAUACACCAAUAGACAUGGUUCGCAUGUCUCAAACUUUUCAAAAACGAGUGAGCCCAAAGAUCCAUCAAUAUGGAGCUUCUUCAUGCGUUUUAUACCGAUAUGACUUACGUGGUAGUGCCACAAGUAGGUGGUACUAUCAUUACUAUCUUUUGGCAUGAACAUGUGUAUCACUACGAUCGAGAUUUAAUAAACCAUUCAUUUUAGGUGUAAGACCAUUGAAGGUAUUAUUCAAAUAAACAGAGUAACCAUUAUUCUCCUUAAAUGAAUAACCGUAUUGCGAUAGACGUAAUCCAAUCAUGUCUAUGCUCAACGCAAACACCAAAUAACAAUUAUUUAGGUUUAACACCAAUCUCUUUGGUAGAGGGAGCGUGCGAUGCUUGAUCAUAUCAAGCAUGGAAAAACUUACAACACAUAUCGUCAGCUCACCUUUAGCUAGUCUCUGUUUAUUCCGUAGCCUUUUGUUUCGAGUUACUAACACUUAGCAACCGAACUGGUAUCUAAUACCCUGGUGCUACUAGGAGUACUAGCAAAGUACACAUUAACACAAUGUAUAUCCAAUAUACUUCUAUCGACCUUGCCAGCCUUCUUAUCUACCAAGUAUCUAGGGUAAUUCUGCUCUAGUAGUUGUUCCCCUUAUUACAGAAGCACUUAGUCUCGGGUUUGGGUUUUACCUUGGGUUUCUUCACUAGAGCAGCAGCUGAUUUGCCGUUUCAUGAAGUAUCCCUUCUUGCCCUUGCCCUUCUUGAAACUAGUGGUUCCACCAACCAUCAACAAUUGAUGCUCCUUCUUGAUUUCUACUUUCGCGGUGUCAAACAUCGCGAAUACCUCAAGGAUCAUCAUAUCUAUCCCUGAUAUGUUAUAGUUCAUCAUGAAGCUCUAACAGCUUGGUGGCAAUGACUUUGGAGAACCAUCACUAUCUCAUCUGGAAGAUCAACUCCCACUCGAUUCAAGCGAUUGUUGUACUCAGACAAUCUGAGCACAAGCUCAACGAUUGAGCUUUUCUCCCUUAGUUUGCAGGUUAAGAAAGUCAUCGGAGGUCUUAUACCUCUUGACAUGGGCACGAGCCUGAAAUCCCAAUUUCAGCCCUCAAAACAUCUCAUAUGUUUCGCGAUGUUUCAAAAACGUCUUUGGUGCCUCAACUCUAAACCGUUUAACUGAACUAUCACGUAGUUAUCAAAACGUGUAUGUCAGAUGUUCGCAACAACCACAGACAACGUUCGAGGUUCAGCACACUGAGCGGUGCAUUAAGGACAUAAGCCUUCUAUGAAGCAAUGAGGACAAUCCUCAGUUUACGGACCUAGUCCGCAUAAUUGCUACUAUCAACUUUCAACUAAUUUUUCUCUAGGAACAUAUCUAAACAGUAGAACUAUAGCGUGAGCUACGACAUAAUUUGCAAAAACCUUUUGACUAUGUUCAGGAUAAUUAAGUUCAUCUUAUGAACUCCCACUCAGAUAGACAUCCCUCUAGUCAUCUAAGUGAUUACAUGAUCCGAGUCAAACUAGGCCGUGUCCGAUCAUCACGUGAGACGGACUAGUCAUCAUCGGUGAACAUCUUCAUGUUGAUCGUAUCUUCUAUACGACUCAUGUUCGACCUUUCGGUCUUCGUGUUCCGAGGCCAUGUAUGUACAUGCUAGGCUCGUCAAGUUAACCCUAAGUGUUUCGCGUGUGUAAAUCUGUCUUACACCCGUUGUAUGUGAACGUUAGAAUCUAACACCCGAUCAUCACGUGGUGCUUCGAAACACGAACUGUCGCAACGGUGCACAGUUAGGGGAGAACACUUCUUGAAAUUGUUGUAAGGGAUCAUCUUAUUUACUACCGUCGUUCUAAGCAAAUAAGAUGUAUAAACAUGAUAAACAUCACAUGCAAUCAAAUAGUGACAUGAUAUGGCCAUCAUCACUUUGCUCCUUUUGAUCUCCAUCUUCGGGGCUCCAUGAUCAUCAUCGUCACCGGCAUGACACCAUGAUCUCCAUCAUCAUGAUCUCCAUCAUCGUGUCUUCAUGAAGUUGCCUCGCCAACUAUUACUUCUACUACUAUGGCUAACGGUUAGCAAUAAAGUAAAGUAAUUACAUGACGUUUAAGUUGACACGCAGGUCACAAAUGAAUAAAGACAACUCCUAUGGCUCCUGCCGGUUGUCAUACUCAUCGACAUGCAAGUCGUGAUUCCUAUUACAAGAACAUGAUCAAUCUCAUACAUCACAUAUAUCAUUCAUCACAUCCUUUUUGGCCAUAUCACAUCACAUAGCAUACCCUGCAAAAACAAGUUAGACGUCCUCUAAUUGUUGUUUGCAUGUUUUACGUGGCUGCUAUGGGUUUCUAGCAAGAACGUUUCUUACCUACGCAUGAACAACAACGUGAUAUGCCAAUUGCUAUUUACCCUUCAUAAGGACCCUUUUCAUCGAAUCCGAUCCGACUAAAGUGGGAGAGACAGACACCCGCCAGCCACCUUAUGCAACUAGUGCAUGUUUGUCGGUGGAACCGGUCUCACGUAAGCGUACGUGUAAGGUUGGUCCGGGCCGCUUCAUCCCACGAUGCCGCCGAAUCAAGAUAAGACUAGUAACGGCAAGCAUAUUGAACAAUAUCAACGCCCACAACUACUUUGUGUUCUACUCGUGCAAAGAAUCUACGCAAUAGACCUAGCUCAUGAUGCCACUGUUGGGGAACGUAGCAGAAAUUCAAAAUUUUCCUACGUGUCACCAAGAUCUAUCUAUGGAGAUACUAGCAACGAGGGAAGGAGAGUGCAUCUACAUACCCUUGUAGAUCGCUAAGCGGAAGCGUUCAAGUGAACGGGGUUGAUGGAGUCGUACUCGUCGUGAUUCAGAUCACCGAUGAUCCUAGUGCCGAACGGACGGCACCUCCGCGUUCAACACACGUACAGCUCGACGAUGUCUCCCACGCCUUGAUCCAGCAAGGAGAGAGGGAGAGGUUGAGGAAGACUCCAUCCAGCAGCAGCACAACGGCGUGGUGGUGAUGGAGGAGCGUGGCAAUCCUGCAGGGCUUCGCCAAGCACCUACGGGAGAGGAGGAGGUGUCACGGGAGGGAGGGAGGCGCCAAGGGCUCAGGUAUAGAUGCCCUCCCUCCCCUCCACUAUAUAUAGGGGCAAGGGAGAGGGGGAGGCGCAUCCUUGCCCCUUCCUCCAAGGAAGGGGUGCGGCUAAGAGGGGGGGAGGAGUCCAUCCUCCCCAAGGCACCUCGGAGGUGCCUUCCCCCUUUAGGACUCUCCCCUUUUUCCUAUAUCUUGGCGCAUGGGCCUCUAGGGGCUGGUGCCCUUGGCCCAUGUAGGCCAAGGCGCACCCCCCUACAGCCCAUGUGGCCCCCCGGGGCAGGUGGCCCCACCCGGUGGGCCCCCGGGACCCUUCCGGUGGUCCCGGUACAAUACCGAUGACCCCGAAACUUGUCCCGAUGGCCGAAACAGGACUUCCUAUAUAUAAAUCUUUACCUCCGGACCAUUCCGGAACUCCUCGUGACGUCCGGGAUCUCAUCCGGGACUCCGAACAACAUUCGGUAACCACAUACAAACUUCCUUUAUAACCCUAGCGUCAUCGAACCUUAAGUGUGUAGACCCUACGGGUUCGGGAGACAUGUAGUCAUGACCGAGAUGUUCUCCGGUCAAUAACCAACAGCGGGAUCUGGAUACCCAUGUUGGCUCGCACAUGUUCCACGAUGAUCUCAUCGGAUGAACCACGAUGUCAAGGACUCAAUCAAUCCCGUAUACAAUUCCCUUUGUCUAGCGGUAUGGUACUUGCCCGAGAUUCGAUCGUCGGUAUACCGAUACCUUGUUCAAUCUCGUUACCGGCAAGCCUCUUUACUCGUUCCGUAACACAUCAUCCCGUGAUCAACCCCUUGGUCACAUUGUGCACAUUAUGAUGAUGUCCUACCGAGUGGGCCCAGAGAUACCUCUCCGUUUACACGGAGUGACAAAAUCCCAAUCUCGAUUCGUGCCAACCCAACAGACACUUUCAGAGAUACCCGUAGUGUACCUUUAUAGCCACCCAGUUACGUUGUGACGUUUGGCACACCCAAAGCACUCCUACGGUAUCCGGGAGUUGCACAAUCUCAUGGUCUAAGGAAAUGAUACUUGACAUUAGAAAAGCUUUAGCAUACGAACUACAUGAUCUUGUGCUAGGCUUAGNNNNNNNNNNUGAUCAACCCCUUGGUCACAUUGUGCACAUUAUGAUGAUGUCCUACCGAGUGGGCCCAGAGAUACCUCUCCGUUUACACGGAGUGACAAAAUCCCAAUCUCGAUUCGUGCCAACCCAACAGACAUUUUCAGAGAUACCCGUAGUGUACCUUUAUAGCCACCCAGUUACGUUGUGACGUUUGGCACACCCAAAGCACUCCUACGGUAUCCGGGAGUUGCACAAUCUCAUGGUCUAAGGAAAUGAUACUUGACAUUAGAAAAGCUUUAGCAUACGAACUACAUGAUCUUGUGCUAGGCUUAGGAUUGGGUCUUGUCCAUCACAUCAUUCUCCUAAUGAUGUGAUCCCGUUAUCAACGACAUCCAAUGUCCAUGGUCAGGAAACCGUAACCAUCUAUUGAUUAACGAGCUAGUCAACUAGAGGCUUACUAGGGACAUGGUGUUGUCUAUGUAUCCACACAUGUAUCUGAGUUUCCUAUCAAUACAAUUCUAGCAUGGAUAAUAAACGAUUAUCAUGAACAAGGAAAUAUAAUAAUAAUCAAUUUAUUAUUGCCUCUAGGGCAUAUUUCCAACAAGAAACGGGGAACAAACUGAUGAAAGAAUGAUCAUACCGAGGGAAUUCACUCAGAACUAACAAGAAUGAUAACGUGCUUUGACUGGAGCGGUUUAAAAACUGCUGGAAGGCUCUAGGGGAAUAAAGAUGGAAUGCCUUCAAAUUUCUAGGUCCGUAUGAUUUGAAAUACUUGCACACAAACCGCGCGAAAGCGUUCCUGGAAAUCUCAGCCCAAAAAAGGACGUUUAGUAAUUCUAAAAGGGACUACAGAAUGAAAAACAAUAGUUUUGGCAGUUAAAGUUUGAGAUUCGAUGGUGCCGUAGAUCCGUUUGGUCAUCAGGUGUAACGAGCCACACCCAUGUCUAGCUAGAGUAGUGUGCUAGGCUCAGGCUAGAGAAGAAACGGGGAACAAACUGAUGAAAGAAUGAUCAUACCGAGGGAAUUCACUCAGAACUAACAAGAAUGAUAACGUGCUCCGACUGGAGCGGUUUAGGAACUGCUGGAAGGCUCUAGGGGAAGAAAGAAGGAAUGACUUCUAAUUUUUAGGUCCGUAUGAUUUGAAAUACGUGCACACAAACCGCGCGAAAGCGUUCCUGGAAAUCUCAGCCCAAAAAAGGACGUUUAGUAUUCUAAAAGGGACUACAGAAUGAAAAACAAUAGUUUUGGCAGUUAAAGUUUGAGAUUCGACGGUGCCGUAGAUCCGUUUGGUCAUCAGGUGUUACGAGCCACACCCAUGUCUAGCUAGAAUAGUGUGCNNNNNNNNNNNNNNNNNNNNNNNNNCGUAUGAUUUGAAAUACGUGCACACAAACCGCGCGAAAGCGUUCCUGGAAAUCUCAGCCCAAAAAAGGACGUUUAGUAUUCUAAAAGGGACUACAGAAUGAAAAACAAUAGUUUUGGCAGUUAAAGUUUGAGAUUCGACGGUGCUGUAGAUCCGUUUGGUCAUCAGGUGUUACGAGCCACACCCAUGUCUAGCUAGAAUAGUGUGCUAGGCUCAGGCUAGAGAAGAAAAGGGGAACAAACUAAUGAAAGAAUGAUCAAUACGAGGGAAUUCACUCAGAACUAACAAUAAUGAUAACGUGCUCCGACUGGAGCGGUUUAGGAACUGCUGGAAGGCUCUAGGCGAAUAAAGAUGGAAUGACUUCUAAUUUUUACGUCCGUAUGAUUUGAAAUACUUGCACACAAACCACGCAAAAGCGUUCCUGGAAAUCUCGGCCUAAAAAGGACGUUUAGUAAUUCUAAAAGGGACUACAGGAUGAAAAAUAAUAGUUUGGGCAGUUAAAAUUUGAGAUUCGACGGUGCCGUAGAUCCGUUUGGUCAUCAGGUGUUACGAGCCACACCCAUGUCUAGCUAGAAUAGUGUGUUAGGCUCAGGCUAGAGAAGAAACGAGGAACAA